rnacentral:rRNA from 1 species
AGUGAACGCUGGCGGUAGGCCUAACACAUGCAAGUCGAACGGCAGCACAGUAAGAGCUUGCUCUUACGGGUGGCGAGUGGCGGACGGGUGAGGAAUACAUCGGAAUCUACUUUUUCGUGGGGGAUAACGUAGGGAAACUUACGCUAAUACCGCAUACGACCUACGGGUGAAAGCAGGGGAUCUUCGGACCUUGCGCGAUUGAAUGAGCCGCUGUCGGAUUAGCUAGUUGGCGGGGUAAAGGCCCACCAAGGCGACGAUCCGUAGCUGGUCUGAGAGGAUGAUCAGCCACACUGGAACUGAGACACGGUCCAGACUCCUACGGGAGGCAGCAGGGGGGAAUAUUGGACAAUGGGCGCAAGCCUGAUCCAGCCAUACCGCGUGGGUGAAGAAGGCCUUCGGGUUGUAAAGCCCUUUUGUUGGGAAAGAAAAGCAGCAGGUUAAUACCCCGCUGUUCUGACGGUACCCAAAGAAUAAGCACCGGCUAACUUCGUG